rnacentral:rRNA from 1 species
AUUGAACGCUGGCGGCAUGCCUUACACAUGCAAGUCGAACGGCAGCACGGGGCAACCUGGUGGCGAGUGGCGAACGGGUGAGUAAUGCAUCGGAACGUACCUUUCAGUGGGGGAUAACGUAGCGAAAGUUACGCUAAUACCGCAUAUUCUGUGCGUAGGAAAGCAGGGGAUCGCAAGACCUUGCGCUGCUUGAGCGGCCGAUAUCAGAUUAGCUAGUUGGUGAGGUAAAGGCCCACCAAGGCGACGAUCUGUAGCGGGUCUGAGAGGAUGAUCCGCCACACUGGAACUGAGACACGGUCCAGACUCCUACGGGAGGCAGCAGUGGGGAAUUUUGGACAAUGGGGGCAACCCUGAUCCAGCCAUGCCGCGUGAGUGAAGAAGGCCUUCGGGUUGUAAAGCUCUUUCGGCCGGGAAGAAAUCGCAUCAGCUAAUACCUGAUGCGGAUGACGGUACCGGCAUAAGAAGCACCGGCUAACUACGUGCCAGCAGCCGCCGUAA